rnacentral:lncRNA from 1 species
AUGGAGGCCUUGGAGGCUGAGUCCGCUCGGGUUGAGGACGCAGAGACGGCGGCGCCCUGGGCUCGGCUGGAGGCCCCCGGCCGCCUCCUGCUGCAGGCGCUGCAGGCCGGGCCCGACGGGGCGCGGCGCGGUCUGGGGGUGCUGCGGACACUGAGCGGCCGCGGCGGGGAGCCCUUUGCCUGGGACGGCGUCCUCGAGGCGCUGUGCCGGGAGGAGCCCGUCGUGGAGGGCCCGGACUGUCGCCUGGAGCUGAAACCACUGCUGCUGCGAUUGCCCCCGUUAUGCCGGACAAACCUGAUGUCCCUGCUCGUGGCUGUUUGGCCAUCGCUGCCCAAAAGCAGGCUCCUCCCUGUGCUGCAGAUUGCGAGGCAGGAUCCAAGCCCUGACCUUGAUCCCUGGCUCCGGGCCCUUGGAGAAUUUCUGCAAAGGGAUCUGAGUGCUGGUGUUUCCACUGAUGGAGCAUCCCCACUGUCUGAAAGGUGCCAGAGACAGCUUCAAGGCCUGUGUAGGCGGCUGGGCCAAGGGGGCAGGAAGUUGAAGUUGCCCCCAGUUCCAGAUUCUGAAGGAGAAGGGCAGGAGGAGAACAAGGACUCCCAGCAGCCUGGGAAACGCAGGAAGGAGCCAGAGGAAGAGCCUGUCAGUCCUGAGGGGGAGAGGGCCCCCAAAAGGCUCCGGUGUUUGGAAAAGGAAGAAGAGGAAGAAGAAGGUCACGAGGGGAAGAGACCUGAACACGAAUCUUCGGAAUCCCUGGCUGAUGGAGGAGGUGCAUCAUCCAUUACAAACCAGCCUAUCAUGGGACCUGAGCCCAGUGAGGCUGGUCAGAGUCUAAAGGAUGCUAAGGGCCUACCUGAGAGUUUGGAGUUGCCCAAAGUUAUCCAGGACCAGGUUCCCAGGCUGCAGCAGCUGCUCAAGACCCUCGGAAAGGGGUUGGAAGGACUGGAGGGCACCCCACCGGUUGAGCUGCAGCUUCUCCAAGAGUGCAGUCCUGGCCAGGUGGACCUACUGUGUGCCCAGCUGCAGCUCCCGCAGCUCCUGGACACAGGUCUCCUCCAGCUCUGCAACUGGCUGCUGGCCCUGUCACCAGACCUCAGCCUGGGCAAUGCCACUGUGCUGACCAGGAGCCUCUUCCUUGGACGGAUUCUCUCCCUGACUGCCUCAGCCUCCCGCCUGCUCACGACUGCCCUGACCUCCUUCUGCACCAAGUAUCCCUAUGCUGUCUGCAGAGCCCUCCUUGGCCCUGUGCUCCAAGCCCCGGGAAUAGGUCCAGCUCAAACAGAGUUACUGUGUUGCCUUACAAAGGACAAGGCCCUGGAGCCAGAUGUGCAGGUUCUAAUGCUGGGACAGAUCUCGGAGCUGCCCUGGAAGGAGGAGACUUUCUUGGUCCUGCAGUCACUCCUGGAGCGGCAGGUGGAGAUGCCCCCUGAGAAGUUCAGUGUGUUGAUGGAGAAACUCUGUAAAGAGGGGCCAGCGGCCACCACAUCCAUGGCCUAUGCCAAGCUCCUGCUGACAGUGAUGACCAAGUAUCAAGCCAACAUCACUGAGCCCCAGAGGCUGGGCCUGGCUGCAGCUGUGGAACUCAACACCACUUUCCUGAGGAAGUCCCUGCAGGCUGCCCUGAGACAUCUGACUCCCUGACUGUCCACCAAAGGACCACCCUCCCGAAGCUCCCUCACCAACUUCCUGAAGGACACUUCUGCCCUCAGCUCCUCACCCUGCCUCUUGCCUGGGGGUCAGGGCUGAACCUGGCCAUCCCAGGGAUCAACUUCCUCCCUGCUCCAGGCUGCAGAGGGGCUGGCAGGAAGGGUCUGGGGCUAGAUGAUCUUUAUUACCAAGGGCUCCUGACCCUAGGCUCCCUCCUUGUCACUUCUGGGGGCAGACACCAUAAGAUAGGCCUCAGCAGGGUCAUAGCAGACCCAGAGUGGACAAUGAUGACACUCCAGGAGCCCCAGGGACAUGUGUUCAGAACGGAUCUCUUGUGCUCAAGUGUAUAUGUGAUGAUCCUCUGU